rnacentral:rRNA from 1 species
AGAGUUUGAUCCUGGCUCAGAUUGAACGCUGGCGGCAUGCUUUACACAUGCAAGUCGAACGGUAACAGGGGAGCUUGCUCCCGCUGACGAGUGGCGAACGGGUGAGUAAUGCAUCGGAACGUACCGAGUAAUGGGGGAUAACUAUCCGAAAGGAUGGCUAAUACCGCAUACGAUCUUAGGAUGAAAGUGGGGGACCUUCGGGCCUCACGUUAUUCGAGCGGCCGAUGCCUGAUUAGCUAGUUGGUAGGGUAAAAGCCUACCAAGGCUACGAUCAGUAGCGGGUCUGAGAGGAUGAUCCGCCACACUGGGACUGAGACACGGCCCAGACUCCCACGGGAGGCAGCAGUGGGGAAUUUUGGACAAUGGGGGCAACCCUGAUCCAGCCAUGCCGCGUGUCUGAAGAAGGCCUUCGGGUUGUAAAGGACUUUUGUUAGGGAGGAAAAUUUAUCCAUUAAUACUGGGUAAAGCUGACAGUACCUAAAGAAUAAGCACCGGCUAACUACGUGCCAGCAGCCGCGGUAAUACGUAGGGUGCAAGCGUUAAUCGGAAUUACUGGGCGUAAAGCGAGCGCAGGCGGUUUGUUAAGUCAGAUGUGAAAGCCCCGAGCUCAACUU